CUUAAAGGGGCCGUGACCGCCGCGCGACGGUCGCGGUCCUACGGAAGCUGUUUGGAGGGGCGGGGCCUUAAGUCUGCGACGCAGCGUGAUGGGAGGAGCCGUGGGUCUUAAAGGAGAAGUCUUGGAGCCUCGACUCUGCGAGCACUCGAAAGGAUCGCGGACGCUACGACUUGUUUGAUGGAAAGCUCAAAGAAGAAUGGAGCUAGCAGGGGCUUCCUGACCUUUGGGGGAAAGCCGAGCACGCAGAUCCUGGGCUCAGAUCAUUCUGCCUCUUCCCGGGGGCGUAUUGUGACCCAAGGGGAUUCCCUCCCUUUCUGGGCCUCGGUUUUAGAGAAAGGCCCUAAUGCGGGAGUGGUGGGGGUCAAAUCCGGGGCCUUCCCCAGCCUUCUAGGCCUGCCCGCUUCCAAACUGCCCCUAGCAGGACAGCGUCACGGUCUCCAUAGUGACAGAGGCCUGCCCCCAAUCCCUCUGCCACAUCUGCGUAUUGGGGGAAAUAGCACUGGAUGACGACAAAUUCCGGUUACUAAAUUAGGGUCCAACGCAUCCUGAGACCUCAAGCCGAUAACCUACUGGGAAGGUGCACAGCAUACGUCUCUGUCACAACUACUCAACUCUGCCGUUGUAGCAUGAAAGCAGCCAUGGGUGUUCUUUCUUGACGCCUUGAACAAACAUGCUUGUUAGAAUCAGAAUGUUCCAGACACUGACCUUCUGGAUUGCCCUGUUGAGCCCUUGGGUUUGCAUGCCAGGUCACCUUUGCCCAUGAAAUCGGCACCCGAAAGCCUGUGAGCUCUUGUUACCAAGACCCUGUGGUGCUCCAAGGACAAUGGUGCUUUAAGGACAAAGGAUGACCCUGCCUGAAAAUGUUCCAGCUGUUACACCCCCUACCGGACUCUUACUCGCCCUCCCACCACGUUGCAAUGGUUACAAGAUUCCUGAGCCCACCUGGGCGACGCCCACCUGGGCAACCGGACCUGUCCCAAGACCGGGGUAUUUUAGGGAGCGACAGCGUGGUGCCGCAGUUGAUGCCGUGACACCAGCGCUGUGAAAAUAAGCGUGCCAGCUCCCCUCGUGGGUCAGAGGCGCCCGCCCGCCCCGGACUCGCAGAUCUCCUUCUGCACCGUCUCCCUUCCUCCUGUUCCUCGUCUCUCCGAGAGGGGACGCCCUUUGAGAGAAGCCUCGGCAGGACGCUGGGUGAGAAGAGGACUCGCAGGGAGGCGAGGUCCAGGACCCCAGAACCCACAGCGCACCGAGGAACACUGUGGAUGCAAUCUCAGUUCAUUCUACAGACACCCGGGAACAUCCCAGGGUCUGGGGAUUUCACCCAUCAACGCAGUCCAGAGGAGCCCUGAGGGGGCCCAGGGGACAUGCCUUGGGGGCCAAGGUGGAGGUUAAAAUCUAAGGGGAAUACGAGAUCUUCCCCGCCCCCAGGGCAGGGGCUGGCGGCUGGGGAAAUGCGAGUUUCAGGAUUGUUGCUGAUGGUACAUCAGCCUGCAGGUUGCAGGGUGGUAUACUCCUGAACUGGGCAGAGACCUGGUGUGUGAGCGCGUCUGUGUGUGUGUGUGUGUGUGUCCGCCCACCCGCCCGGAAGACACAAAAGUGAGCUUUCAGGUCUCCGGUCUGGUAACAGGAAGCAGAACGCAUUUGGUUCUUGAGCGCUAGGUUACCGUCUCCGCCUCUACAGCCCGGCUUCUCCCAAGGCCUAGUUUCUCCAUCGUGCACUUUUCAGGAAGCUCGUUAAUUUUCACUGCAGAGAGUGGACUGCAGAGGAAAACAGCCUUUCAGUGCAAAAGAAAAGACUUGAGUGAGGCCAAAGGAGAUGUUUGCUGUUUCAAAUUAAACGGGACUAGGGAAAUUGGAAACCCUGCCCAAGGCCUGGCAUCCUGGGCCUUUGGCAUCUUCUGUGAGGGACGUUGGGGAAGAACU